rnacentral:rRNA from 1 species
AACGGUAACAGAAAAAGCUUGCUUUUUGCUGACGAGUGGCGAACGGGUGCGUAACGCGUAUGCAACCUACCUUCUUCUAAGGAAUAGCCCAGAGAAAUUUGGAUUAAUACCUUAUGAUAAUAUUUAUUCGCAUGUUUAAAUAUUUAAAACUUCGGUGGAAGAAGAUGGGCAUGCGUAACAUUAGUUUGUUGGUGAGGUAAUGGCUCACCAAGACUACGAUGUUUAGGGGGUCUGAGAGGAUGAUCCCCCACACUGGUACUGAGACACGGACCAGACUCCUACGGGAGGCAGCAGUGAGGAAUAUUGGUCAAUGGACGAAAGUCUGAACCAGCCAUGCCGCGUGAAGGAUGACGGCCCUACGGGUUGUAAACUUCUUUUGUUUAGGAAGAAACCCCUCUACGUGUAGAGGGUUGACGGUACUAUUCGAAUAAGCACCGGCUAACUCCGUGCCAGCAGCCGCGGUAAUACGGAGGGUGCGAGCGUUAUCCGGAAUUAUUGGGUUUAAAGGGUGCGUAGGCGGAAAUUUAAGUCAGUGGUGAAAGCCUGCAGCUUAACUGUAGAAUUGCCAUUGAUACUGGAUUUCUUGAAUCUAAUAGAAGUAGGCGGAAUAUGACAUGUAGCGGUGAAAUGCUUAGAUAUGUCAUAGAACACCGAUAGCGAAGGCAGCUUACUAUGUUAGUAUUGACGCUAAUGCACGAAAGCGUGGGGAGCGAACAGGAUUAGAUACCCUGGUAGUCCACGCCGUAAACGAUGAUUACUCGCUAUUGGCGAUACACUGUCAGUGGCUAAGCGAAAGUGAUAAGUAAUCCACCUGGGGAGUACGAUCGCAAGGUUGAAACUCAAAGGAAUUGACGGGGGCCCGCACAAGCGGUGGAGCAUGUGGUUUAAUUCGAUGAUACGCGAGGAACCUUACCAGGUCUUAAAUGCAUAACGAACGAUUGGGAAACCAAUCUUUCUUCGGACGGAAUGCAAGGUGCUGCAUGGUUGUCGUCAGCUCGUGCCGUGAGGUGUCAGGUUAGUCCUAUAACGAGCGCAACCCCUAUUCUUAGUUGCCAGCGGUUCGGCCGGG